rnacentral:rRNA from 1 species
AUUGAACGCUGGCGGCAGGCCUAACACAUGCAAGUCGAGCGGAUGAGGGGAGCUUGCUCCUGGAUUCAGCGGCGGACGGGUGAGUAAUGCCUAGGAAUCUGCCUGGUAGUGGGGGAUAACGUCCGGAAACGGGCGCUAAUACCGCAUACGUCCUGAGGGAGAAAGUGGGGGAUCUUCGGACCUCACGCUAUCAGAUGAGCCUAGGUCGGAUUAGCUAGUUGGUGGGGUAAAGGCCUACCAAGGCGACGAUCCGUAACUGGUCUGAGAGGAUGAUCAGUCACACUGGAACUGAGACACGGUCCAGACUCCUACGGGAGGCAGCAGUGGGGAAUAUUGGACAAUGGGCGAAAGCCUGAUCCAGCCAUGCCGCGUGUGUGAAGAAGGUCUUCGGAGUGUAAAGCACUUUAAGUUGGGAGGAAGGGCAGUAAGUUAAUACCUUGCUGUUUUGACGUUACCAACAGAAUAAGCACCGGCUAACUUCGUG